CCAUGAAAUAAAAGAAUAGUGAAGUAAAAUAUCUUCAAGUGGACUUCAUUGCAGUAGCCUAAGGGUGCUACAUUACACAUUCCUAUAGUCGACUGCAUCCUGUGCUCUCCUGCUUUCUCUGUUGCAAACACACGACUUGUGCCGCCAAGUGGCGCCAUUGCACCGCGUCCCUCCGCCGUCGCCCUCAGCCGCAGCGGCGAAAUCACAAAUUGGACAUGUUGCGCAUAUCUUUCCACAUUGCCACAUAAGAGAACACCCGGGUCUGUUUCGAUUGCCUGGUUUCUCACUCCACACAGCUUAUCAAAUUGUUAUUACACAGCAGAUGGGAUGCGCUUCAUUUAUUUAAUUCCAUUCACCAAAAAAAAAAAAAAAAAAAAAAAAAAAGCCACGGCGCUUAGGUUUUACAAGGGUGGGGGCAGUAAAAAUGGAUUGAAGUUCAGGCAAUUAAGAGUCUGGCGGAACGCCUGUGUGAGCAUAUUUUGAUGACUUAUUAAUGUGCGCAGAUAACCAAAGCCCUCUAUUGUGGAAACUAUCGAUCCGAUUGAUUAGUAAUAAACUUGAUUGAACGUGUGGACAGUGGCAGACAGACAGUGGUGCAAUUAGACGAUGAUUUGGUGAGGGCGGGUAGAAGCAGAUGUCUGAAAUACAUAUGUUUCAGGUGGAGUGGGUUCCGUGCCUCAGUUGAGCUGCGGGAAGUCGUGCGCUGUCCCUUUCAGCACCGACGACCGGAGGAGCUGGAAAAGGAGUGAGGGCGCGCGCGUCCGUGCUGUGCUGGAGUAACGGCCGCGAGCGGACUUCUUCUUCUUCUUCUUUUGCGCGGGCAGGCUUCAUACGCAAAGUGCGGGAAGCUGAGAGAUGACUAUGGAUAAAAAUCAGGCUCUGCUGAAGAUGUGACUUGUGGAUUAGGAGCUCUACUCCCGAACUAGAUUUCUCCAGCAUCGGCGCCACAUUUCCCGCCCUGCCACUCUUUUUCUCUCGCUGUCUCUUCUGGAUUAUGAUUCGCUCAUGGGGCUCGGCUAGCUCCACGCCUGGGGUCCGUAACCCCUCCCUUUUUGACGAAUAGGAAGGCCCUACUCUUUAACAUUCCUGAAAACACACCCUCAGUUUUGGAAUACCUUUCUCCAAGAACACCUUUGCCCUAGUCCGUCUGAUUUGCCGAUCAUGGAAGCGCAGUGGAACCCGACUUCCUACCCACAGUCUCCCUCCGUCAUCUUCCUGCUCGUGGCUACUUCCUACACUUGGCUCCUUCCCGUCGCCUCCCCUCAGCGAAUCCCCACAGACCCCCAGGCGGCGCCAGAGUACGCCCACUCCAUCCGACUAGACGGGGACAUCAUCCUCGGAGGAUUAUUUCCCGUCCACUCCCGUGGAGACCGUGGCACGCCCUGCGGGGAGCUGAAAAAGGAGAAGGGCAUCCAUCGUUUGGAGGCCAUGAUGUUCGCCAUCGACCUGAUCAACAAGGAUCCCGAGCUGCUGCCCAACAUCACGCUGGGGGCCCGGAUCUUGGAUACCUGCUCCAGGGACACAUACGCUCUGGAGCAGUCCCUGACCUUUGUGCAGGCCUUGAUCGAGAGGGACGGCUCUGACGUUCGCUGUGCUAAUGGAGACCCUCCCAUCUUCACCAAGCCGGAUAAAAUCGUAGGCGUGAUUGGAGCCGCGGCCAGCUCCGUGUCCAUCAUGGUGGCCAACAUCCUGCGGCUGUUUAAGAUCCCCCAGGUCAGCUACGCCUCCACGGCCCCGGAGUUGAGCGACAACACCCGCUACGACUUCUUCUCCCGCGUGGUGCCGCCGGACUCCUACCAGGCCCAGGCCAUGAUGGACAUCGUCACGGCGAUGGAGUGGAACUACGUGUCCACGCUCGCCUCGGAGGGCAACUACGGAGAGAGCGGCGUGGAGGCCUUCAUCCAGAUCUCCAGAGAAACUGGCGGUGUGUGCAUUGCCCAGUCCUUGAAGAUCCCCAGGGAGCCCAGGCCGGGGGAGUUUGACAAGAUCAUCAGACGCCUGCUGGAGACCUCCAACGCCAGGGCCAUCAUCAUGUUUGCUAAUGAGGACGACAUACGACGAAUUCUGGAUGCAGCUAAAAGGAACAACCAGACGGGUCACUUCCUGUGGGUGGGAUCAGACAGCUGGGGGUCCAAAAUCUCUCCCGUGAUCGGCCAGGAGAGAGUGGCCGAGGGCGCCAUCACAAUUCUCCCCAAACGGGCCUCUGUGGAUGCCUUUGACCGGUAUUUCCGCAGCCGCUCACUGUCCAACAACAGAAGAAAUGUUUGGUUCGCUGAAUUCUGGGAGGAAAACUUUAACUGUAAACUGGGGAUGCACGGUAAACGACCCGGAAGCCUGAAAAAAUGCACAGGUUUAGAAAAAGUCGGUCGCGAUUCCAGUUACGAACAAGAGGGGAAGGUUCAGUUUGUGAUGGACGCUGUGUACGCCAUGGCCCACGCUUUGCACCGCAUGCACCGGGAACUCUGCUACGGCUACCCGGGCCUCUGCCCGCGCAUGGCCAACAACAUCGAUGGCAAAGAGCUGCUCAGCCACAUUCGCGCUGUCAGCUUCAAUGGAAGUGCCGGUACGCCAGUGGUUUUCAAUGAGAACGGAGACGCUCCAGGAAGAUAUGAUAUCUUCCAGUACCAGAUUACCAACAGAUCCACCGCGGAGUACAGAGUCAUCGGCUCCUGGACCAAUAAACUGCACCUCAAAGUGGAGGCCAUGCGUUGGAGGACAGGUGACCCAUCUCUCCCGGCGUCCGUGUGCAGCAUCCCGUGCCGUGCGGGCGAGAGGAAGAAGGUGGUGAAAGGUGUGCCUUGUUGCUGGCACUGCGAACGCUGUGAGGGAUACCACUAUCAGGCUUCAGAGUUCACCUGUGAGCUGUGUCCAUAUGAGAUGCGACCCGACGCCAACCGCACUGGCUGCGUUCCCAUCCCGAUCAUCAAGCUGGAGUGGCACUCCCCCUGGGCCAUCGUCCCCGUCUUCAUCUCCAUGCUGGGGAUCAUCGCCACCUCUUUCGUCAUCGUCACUUUUGUCCGGUACAACGACACCCCCAUCGUCCGGGCGUCGGGCCGGGAGAUGAGCUACGUGCUGCUGACGGGAAUCUUCCUCUGCUACGCCAUCACAUUCCUAAUGAUCGCCACGCCGGACGUGGGGGUGUGCUCGUUCAGGAGGAUUUUCUUGGGCUUGGGGAUGUGUUUCAGCUACGCCGCGCUGCUCACCAAGACCAACAGGAUACACCGCAUCUUUGAACAAGGGAAGAAAUCUGUAACAGCACCCAGGUUCAUCUCUCCUGCCUCCCAGCUCGUCAUCACCUUCUCCCUGAUCUCAGUCCAGCUCCUGGGCGUCUUUGUCUGGUUCGCGGUGGACCCUCCCCACACCGUCGUGGACUACGGCGAGCAGCGGACCCAGGACCCCACGUCGGCACGCGGCGUCCUCAAGUGUGACAUCUCGGACCUGUCGCUCAUCUGCUCCCUGGGCUACUCCAUCCUGCUGAUGGUGACGUGCACGGUUUACGCCAUCAAGACGCGAGGCGUGCCCGAAACCUUCAACGAGGCCAAGCCCAUCGGAUUUACCAUGUACACCACUUGUAUCAUCUGGCUGGCAUUCAUACCCAUCUUCUUUGGCACGUCACAGUCUGCAGAGAGGAUGUAUAUCCAAACCACCACCCUGACUAUCUCCCUCAGCCUGUCUGCCUCUGUGUCUCUGGGGAUGCUCUACAUGCCCAAGGUCUACAUCAUCCUCUUCCACCCCGAGCAGAACGUACCCAAACGAAAACGCAGCUUCAAGGCAAUCGUGACAGCUGCCACCAUGUCGGGAAAACUGACCCAGAAGGGAGGAGACCGGCCCAACGGAGAAGUGAAGACUGAGCUAUGUGAGAGCAUGGAGACCAACAAUUCCCUGGAACUGGCAGAAGCGUCUCGUGGACAAUGUGACUUUUCAACACGUACGCGCGCAGACACGCACCAGGGACCAAACCCAUAAAGGUAUGGAUCUGCGUUGGGUGAUUUGCAACUGGGGAUGUGACGGAUACCAGGAACAUACAUGAUGAAGAACUACAGAUGAAGCUAUAAAGAAGGUUCAACCAGGAGGACAUCUUCAGCCUGACACUACACGCUUUCAAUUUCUCCCAACUCUGGAACCCAACGCUGUGAGUCUGCUGUUUUUUUUUAGUCAUUAACAUGUUAUAUAAAAGAAAGUAUUGUGUUUUCCAGAAUUCCUACUUUCUUCUUCUUCCCCCCCUUUCCAUUCCUUUCUAAAGUAUAUUUUUGGGGGCUUUUUAUGCCUUUAUUUGAUAGUACAGUAGAGAGAGACAGGAAAUGGGGAGGCAGAGAGAGGGGGAAUGACAUGCAGUAAAGGGCCGUCCGAUGCAGGAUUCGAACCGGGGCCGACUGCAGCGAGGACUGUAGCCUCUACACAUGGGGCGCCUGCUCAACCUACUGCGCUACUUGACGCCCCUUCCAUUCCUUUUUGCAGUCCUUGACGUACCCCUAUCCUCUUUCUUUUACUACCACCUCUAUAUAAUGUAUCUUGGUUGUUCUUUCUCUGUCUCUCCUUCAUUUUUACCCUUUUUCCCUUUUCCAUAUUUCCCCCCAUUUUUUCUUCCUUACUUAAUUUUGUUUCCUUCCCUCUUUUCCUUUGUUUCAAUCUCUUUCCACCCAUCAUCUUUCUCAUAUAUAUAUAUUUUUUAAAACUCUCUCUGUCUCUCUCUCCCUCCCUCUCUCUCUCUCUCUCUCUCUCUCUCUCUCACUCUCACUCUCACUCUCACUCACUCUAUUUCCUUCACUCAAUCACUUUCUUCCAACAUCCAUUUUCUGCUCAGAAUAUCCAUCUUCAUCUCCAUGUCUCUUAGAAAUAAGCCUCUCACUUUCAUAUCUGUUAUUUCACUCCCUCAAAGGUUCAGCUCAUCCUGGGGUUCGUCUCUCCUACUUCCUAAAAAAAAAAAAAAAAAAAAAAAUCUAAUCCACUCCACCGCUGUCUCUCUUUUCCUCUAUCCCUCCCGGUGGCUGUGGGGCUCUGUUAGCAUUCUGUUGAGGUGCGUCCACUAAAUGUCACCUAGCUGGAGACGGAGAGAAAGGGAGGGAUGACUGGGUGGCUUCAUUUUCUUUACGUCACUGAAUGUCUGCGAACAUGUACAGAUUCAGUACUCCUCUCUGAUCUAUGACAGAAUUUAACUCACUUGGCAGAUAAACAUGCACACACAUGCCUUUGCAGAAAUGCUAACCAUCCACCAAGGGCCAACCCCCCACCCCUCCACCCCCCGUCCCAACCAUGUUAUCACUAAUAUUAUGUUUUGAAUUGAUUUCCCGCUUCAUUGCUAUUCUACACCCGUCUAUUUGUACUUACGCUCAUGUUUUAAUGGAUUGUUUAUAAAGUUAAAGU